rnacentral:rRNA from 1 species
AGUGAACGCUGGCGGUAGGCCUAACACAUGCAAGUCGAACGGCAGCACAGUAAGAGCUUGCUCUUACGGGUGGCGAGUGGCGGACGGGUGAGGAAUACAUCGGAAUCUACUUUUUCGUGGGGGAUAACGUAGGGAAACUUACGCUAAUACCGCAUACGACCUACGGGUGAAAGCAGGGGAUCUUCGGACCUUUCGCGAUUGAAUGAGCCGAUGUCGGAUUAGCUAGUUGGCGGGGUAAAGGCCCACCAAGGCGACGAUCCGUAGCUGGUCUGAGAGGAUGAUCAGCGAAACUGGAACUGAGACACGGUCCAGACUCCUACGGGAGGCAGCAGUGGGGAAUAUUGGACAAUGGGCGCAAGCCUGAUCCAGCCAUACCGCGUGGGUGAAGAAGGCCUUCGGGUUGUAAAGCCCUUUUGUUGGGAAAGAAAAGCAGCAGGUUAAUACCCCGCUGUUCUGACGGUACCCAAAGAAUAAGCACCGGCUAACUUCGUG